UCCUGGCUCGAACUCGGGCAUUGAUUGCGGCAAGCUCAUGAUUUACAUUUGAGUGAGUGGCGAACUGGUGAGUAACACGUGGGAAACCUGCCCAGAAGCGGGGGAUAACACCUGGAAACAGAUGCUAAUACCGCAUAACAACUUGGACCGCAUGGUCCGAGCUUGAAAGAUGGCUUCGGCUAUCACUUUUGGAUGGUCCCGCGGCGUAUUAGCUAGAUGGUGGGGUAACGGCUCACCAUGGCAAUGAUACGUAGCCGACCUGAGAGGGUAAUCGGCCACAUUGGGACUGAGACACGGCCCAAACUCCUACGGGAGGCAGCAGUAGGGAAUCUUCCACAAUGGACGAAAGUCUGAUGGAGCAACGCCGCGUGAGUGAAGAAGGGUUUCGGCUCGUAAAACUCUGUUGUUAAAGAAGAACAUAUCUGAGAGUAACUGUUCAGGUAUUGACGGUAUUUAACCAGAAAGCCACGGCUAACUACGUGCCAGCAGCCGCGGUAAUACGUAGGUGGCAAGCGUUGUCCGGAUUUAUUGGGCGUAAAGCGAGCGCAGGCGGUUUUUUAAGUCUGAUGUGAAAGCCUUCGGCUCAACCGAAGAAGUGCAUCGGA
rnacentral:rRNA from 1 species